ensembl:lncRNA
CCCAGCGUCCUAUAAUCCCAGCGUCCUAUAAUCCAGCCGUCCUUUAAUCCCAGCGUCCUAUAAUCCCAGCGUCCUAUUAAUCCCAGCGUCCUAUAAUCCCAGCGUCCUAUAAUCCCAGCGUCCUUUAAUCCCAGCGUCCUUUAAUCCCAGCGUCCUUUAAUCCCAGCGUUCCUAUAAUCCCAGCGUCCUUUAAAUCCCAGCGUCCUAUAAUCCCAGCGGUCCUAUAAUCCCAGCGGUCCUAUAAUCCCAGCGGUCCUUUAAUCCCAGCUCCUAUAAUCCAGCGUCCUAUAAUCCCACGGUCCUUUAAUCCCAGCGUCCUAUAAUCCCAGCGUCCUAUAAUCCCAGCGUCCUAUAAUCCCAG